rnacentral:rRNA from 1 species
GUAUAGACCCGAAACCCGGUGAUCUAGCCAUGGGCAGGUUGAAGGUUGGGUAACACUAACUGGAGGACCGAACCGACUAAUGUUGAAAAAUUAGCGGAUGACCUGUGGCUGGGGGUGAAAGGCCAAUCAAACCGGGAGAUAGCUGGUUCUCCCCGAAAGCUAUUUAGGUAGCGCCUCGUGAAUUCAUCUCCGGGGGUAGAGCACUGUUUCGGCUAGGGGGCCAUCCCGGCUUACCAACCCGAUGCAAACUGCGAAUACCGGAGAAUGUUAUCACGGGAGACACACGGCGGGUGCUAACGUCCGUCGUGAAGAGGGAAACAACCCAGACCGCCAGCUAAGGUCCCAAAGUCAUGGUUAAGUGGGAAACGAUGUGGGAAGGCCCAGACAGCCAGGAUGUUGGCUUAGAAGCAGCCAUCAUUUAAAGAAAGCGUAAUAGCUCACUGGUCGAGUCGGCCUGCGCGGAAGAUGUAACGGGGCUAAACCAUGCACCGAAGCUGCGGCAGCGACACUCAGGUGUUGUUGGGUAGGGGAGCGUUCUGUAAGCCUGCGAAGGUGGCCUGUGAGGGUUGCUGGAGGUAUCAGAAGUGCGAAUGCUGACAUAAGUAACGAUAAAGCGGGUGAAAAGCCCGCUCGCCGGAAGACCAAGGGUUCCUGUCCAACGUUAAUCGGGGCAGGGUGAGUCGACCCCUAAGGCGAGGCCGAAAGGCGUAGUCGAUGGGAAACGGGUUAAUAUUCCCGUACUUGGUGUUACUGCGAAGGGGGGACGGAGAAGGCUAUGUUGGCCGGGCGACGGUUGUCCCGGUUUAAGCGUGUAGGUGUGUGUUCCAGGUAAAUCCGGUUCACUUUAACACUGAGGCGUGAUGACGAGGCACUACGGUGCUGAAGCAACAAAUGCCCUGCUUCCAGGAAAAGCCUCUAAGCAUCAGGUAACAUCAAAUCGUACCCCAAACCGACACAGGUGGUCAGGUAGAGAAUACCAAGGCGCUUGAGAGAACUCGGGUGAAGGAACUAGGCAAAAUGGUGCCGUAACUUCGGGAGAAGGCACGCUGACACGUAGGUGAAGUGAUUUACUCAUGGAGCUGAAGUCAGUCGAAGAUACCAGCUGGCUGCAACUGUUUAUUAAAAACACAGCACUGUGCAAACACGAAAGUGGACGUAUACGGUGUGACGCCUGCCCGGUGCCGGAAGGUUAAUUGAUGGGGUCAGCGCAAGCGAAGCUCCUGAUCGAAGCCCCGGUAAACGGCGGCCGUAACUAUAACGGUCCUAAGGUAGCGAAAUUCCUUGUCGGGUAAGUUCCGACCUGCACGAAUGGCGUAAUGAUGGCCAGGCUGUCUCCACCCGAGACUCAGUGAAAUUGAACUCGCUGUGAAGAUGCAGUGUACCCGCGGCAAGACGGAAAGACCCCGUGAACCUUUACUAUAGCUUGACACUGAACAUUGAGCCUUGAUGUGUAGGAUAGGUGGGAGGCUUUGAAGUGUGG